UGUGACACGAGGAUUUUCAGUCCUCUGCUCUACCAGCUGAG
rnacentral:tRNA from 1 species